CCCCCACUCGUACAAGACAAUCCCUCCAUUCUUCACGAUAACGGCAGUUCAGUCCACAAAGAACGGUCUAAUAAAUAUUCAGCAUGCUCCUCACAUCCCCACAUGCAUGAUACCCUAUUAGAUCACUUUCUUAGAUUAAACCUACCUCACUAUCACUUCACUAUCCAUAUUUCUCUUGGUGUGGAUUAACUCAUAUCACUCGUGAAGCAUUCCAUGUCUUUUUAUUGCUCCAUUACAUGUUGUUCAUUACGUGUUGCUUGACAUGAUUGGAAAGCAUGAUGGGAUAUUUAUGAUAGGGCACGGCUCUCAAAUUAUCUCAAGGUUACAGUCCCUUAGUUGAGCCGAGGAGCCGAAAAAGAAGUGACGCUGAUCACGCCUCUUGUAAAAAGACUACAUAUUUCCGCAUGCUGAAAAUAGAGGGACCAUCCCUCCUCGAGACUCGACUCAACACUACAUCCCUUUUUUACUUCUUUUUCGCGCUCCCUUUUUAUGAUUUUGAAUAUUACAAUAUAUUGAUGCCCAUUUAGAUUUUUGAAGAGACAAUUAGUUCUGUUUUAUUACUUUUACACUGAAAAUUCUGAAUGAAAAUUCUGAAUGUGACACUUCUGACCAAGGAAUGAAUUUGCUGGCCCCUGUUAUUUUACAGGGCAUAGUUUUUUACUAUUUUCGACGUUAUUAUUUGACGUUGUUACCAUAGUAAUAUGACGUUGCCACUGCGCAACUCCUAUAGCCGGCACGGACGGAGAUGACUGAGUCUAGGACGUUUGUUUGAUUUAUCUUUUUGUUUGAAUGAUGACUUGAUAUGAUACAUCAAUAUUAUUAUCAUGGUACCUUUUGAAAUUAUUUGGUUCCA